CCACUGCCUCGGGGCCCAUGAAGAAGCUAUGAUUAGCCUGCAUGAUCAAGAGCAACUAAAGAAACUAAGGAUAAAAGAAGUGUAGCUGGAAUCCGAGUGCCACCAUUCAAACUGUCGAGCAACCAAGUGUUCUAUAAUGAUGCCAUCUAAUAAGAGAACUCAAUUGACACCUCAUCUACACACAAGUGGUGUAGUAGCCAAUUCUGAAAGGUGCCAUUAAAUCAGUUGAACCCCUCUUGAUCUCGAAUAGCAGAACCCUACUCACCAAACCAUAGUCCAUUCCC
rnacentral:lncRNA from 1 species